rnacentral:tRNA from 1 species
GCCGAGAUGCUGGAAUUUGGUAGACAGGCAGCCUUGAGGAGGCUGUGUCCGUAAGGACGUGCGGGUUCAAGUCCCGCUCUCGGCA